rnacentral:lncRNA from 1 species
CCUGAAGAGCCUAAAGAUUAAGAAGAGUGAUAAAUCUUCAGAAGGUAUGCUCGUAAUUGAAUCUAAUCUUAUGGUUUCUACUUCUAGUUGGAUAUUAGACUCUAGUUUGAGUACUCAUAUAUGUACCUCAUUGCAGGAUCUAAUAGAAAGUAGAAGGUUGAGAAAAGGUGAUAUGAUCCUUCGGAUCGGUAAUGGAGUAAAAAUUACUACAGAAGCUGUUGGCACUUAUCCUCUUCG